UAUACUAUUGAACAAGGAAUAUAUUUCGGAAGUUUUUCCUGCUUUUAGCACGUAUUACUGUAAUAUGAGAACAAUUACAAAAGAUAUUAUUCAAAUUGUUUGCUAUAGACCUAUAUUUGCUCAAUUUUGCUGCAUUUCAAAUAACUAAUAUAUACUUCUUAAAAUGCGUAAUGCAGUCUAAUGCAGUAUCCAACAAAGGUGAACCCCGGAAAAUCCUGGGUGGGAAAAAUCUGACCGUGGCUCGAGCCACUUUUGCCACGGUCUGGAUCCGCGCCUGUA